rnacentral:rRNA from 1 species
GUGAGGUAACGGCUCACCAAGGCUUCGACGGGUAGCUGGUCUGAGAGGACGAUCAGCCACACUGGGACUGAGAUACGGCCCAGACUCCUACGGGAGGCAGCAGCAGGGAAUAUUGCGCAAUGGGCGAAAGCCUGACGCAGCAACGCCGCGUGGGGGAUGAAGGCCUUCGGGUUGUAAACCCCUUUCAGGAGGGAAGAAAUUGACGGUACCUCCAAAAGAAGCCCCGGCCAACUACGUGCCAGCAGCCGCGGUAAUACGUAGGGGGCGAGCGUUGUCCGGAAUCAUUGGUCGUAAAGAGCUCGUAGGCGGCUCAGUAAGUCGGUCGUGAAAGCCCGAGGCUCAACCUCGGAACUGCGGUCGAUACUGCUGUGGCUAGAGUCCGGUAGAGGAGAAUGGAAUUCCCGGUGUAGCGGUGGAAUGCGCAGAUAUCGGGAGGAACACCAGUAGCGAAGGCGGUUCUCUGGGCCGGUACUGACGCUGAGGAGCGAAAGCGUGGGGAGCAAACAGGAUUAGAUACCCUGGUAGUCCACGCCGUAAACGUUGGGCACUAGGUGUGGCGGACUGACCAAUGUCUGCCGUGCCGAAGCAAACGCAUUAAGUG